rnacentral:rRNA from 1 species
UCGGAUCGCAGGCUGCAACCCGCCUGCGUGAAGUCGGAAUCGCUAGUAAUCGCGGAUCAGCAUGCCGCGGUGAAUACGUUCCCGGGCCUUGUACACACCGCCCGUCACACCAUGAGAGUCGGGAACACCCGAAGCCCGUAGCCUAACAGCAAUGAGGGCGCGGUCGAAGGUGGGUUCGAUAAUUGGGGUGAAGUCGUAACAAGGUAAC